rnacentral:lncRNA from 1 species
UCAGGUCUCAUUUACUUCCUCUUUUUUUUUUCCUUUUCCUUUUCCUAUACCUUCCUUUGGUCCUUAUAAGUAUCCAAAUUGCCCUAAAAUAACUUCUGCACAUGCAGCAUUAGGAAGCAGUGUUUCCCAACCACUACAUUUGAAUGAUUCAUUCCUCUGAGGACCCUCAAGUACUUCAGAAGAACUAAAAAAUGAAUAUCACGUUACACCAAAGAAGAAAUGAAAGCUGCCAGUGUCUUCUGAAGUUAAACAGGCUCCUGUUCUUUGACCCAGCAAUCCAAUCCUAGGUAUUUAAUUGUUCCCUGAGGUUUAAGGCAGUGGACUGAGGAUAAUACAGGCUCCAGCUUUCAUUAGUUCAAUGGAUGAUGCUGUUCAAUCCAUACUGUUUGGGGCAUUUGUUGAAAAUGUCAUUCAGAAGAUAUCAACACUUUCUGAGUCAUGGUUUGAUUGAAUUUAUAGAAUUAUGUGAUAGAAACCACAUUCUUCACAAAAGUCACAAGGCAAUAAUGACGACAAGGGUUGAAGAUGAAAGAUGCCAAAUAUUCUGAUCAAUUCAAUAAGGCAAAAAGACAAGUUAAUUCACUCAGUGCUCCAGGCAUCAACUUCAUAGAAGGAAUGGAAAUUCUACCUGUUUCCUAAAGAACUACAGAGGUGUACACCAAACGGAGGGCAAAUGCUGUUACCACUCAUCGUGCAAGACUUUUGAGGCAAUUUGGACAUAGACAAGUGAUGGGAAAAUUGAAUCAUUAUAUGGCUCAUGACAGUGUUGAAAACUCAAACAUCCAAGGACCUGUACCUUUGCUAAG